rnacentral:rRNA from 1 species
GAUCCUGGCUUAGGAUGAACGCUAGCGACAGCUAACACAUGCAAGUCGAGGGGCAGCAUAAAAGUAGCAAUACUUGGUGGCGACCGGCGCACGGGUGAGUAACGCGUAUGCAACCUACCUAUCAGAGGGGAAUAACCCGGCGAAAGUCGGACUAAUACCGCAUAAAACAGGGGCACCGCAUGGUGAUAUUUGUUAAAGAAAUUCGCUGAUAGAUGGGCAUGCGUUCCAUUAGGUAGUUGGUGAGGUAACGGCUCACCAAGCCGACGAUGGAUAGGGAACUGAGAGGUUGGUCCCCCACACUGGUACUGAGACACGGACCAGACUCCUACGGGAGGCAGCAGUGAGGAAUAUUGGUCAAUGGGCGGGAGCCUGAACCAGCCAAGUCGCCGUGAAGGAAGAAGGAUCUAUGGUUCGUAAACUUCUUUUGCAGGGGAAUAAAGUGCAGGACGUGUCCUGUUUUGUAUGUACCCUGAGAAUAAGGAUCGGCUAACUCCGUGCCAGCCGCGGC